UGAGUGGCAAAGCUAGGACCUAAGCUCAGAUCUUGCAAUUCCUUAAGUAUCUGUCUCCUACUCUUGGCUGAGGAAUAUGUGGGUGCUCUGGAUCACAGAUGAGCAGCCGUGAUACCAUACUGAAACAAAGCUUCUUAUAGUGGCAGGAGCUGUUUUCCAAACCGACUUCCCCAGGUCAGAUCACUAGCCAGCUUGGCAUUGAUACGCAUUUAUUAAUCUCACAGACGGCACGUACUGCAUAUUGGGAAUGGGGAUAAAGGUCAGGGAUGUGACGAACAAGCUCUGCCCUUGCUCUCAGGAAAUGAGGAUGAGAGGAGUCUGCAGAUCUGCACAUUCUCUUACUGGCAACAUGUUUGAUGUCCUCCUAGAGCCACAUGUAAGGGGCCGUGAUCACGUGAAAGAAGUGGGUGUGGGGAAGAAUGUCCCCCACAGAGUUGGAGAUGUUGAGCUCUGUCUCUGGGGUAGAGUUUUUCAGGUAGAGCGAGCAGGCAGCAGAGGUGGCUGAGGCCCUCUAGUUGUGAGUGGGCAUGGUGCCUCAUCGUUUGGGAAUAUUUGUCUACCCCAACUAGCAGUAGGGCACAGGGUAUGUGGUGAGGGGAUGACAGGAAGUACAGUUGGAGAAGUGGUUUGGAGCCAGAUUGUGAAGUGCGUGCUAUUUCCUGUGAAGAAGUAUGGACCUUAGCUUACAUUCUGUAGAUUCCAGAGUUAGUUCUUAUGAGAGAAGACCCAAAUGUCCACGUGCACACUGAGCUUUGUCUCCAGAU
rnacentral:lncRNA from 1 species